rnacentral:rRNA from 1 species
UAGGCGAACGGGUGCGUAACACGUGGGCAAUCUGCCGAAAAGUGGGGGAUAGCUCGCCGAAAGGCGAAUUAAGUACCGCAUGUGGUGAGGGACGACAUCUUCCUGAAUCCAAAGCCGGGGUAACCUGGCGCUUUUUGAGGAGCCCGCGGCCUAUCAGCUAGUUGGUGAGGUAACGGCUCACCAAGGCUAUGACGGGUAGCUGGUCUGAGAGGACGACCAGUCACACCGUGGAACUGAGACACGGUCCAGACACCUACGGGUGGCAGCAGUCGAGAAUUUUUCUCAAUGGGGGAAACCCUGAAGGAGCGACGCCGCGUGGAGGAUGAAGGCUUUCGGGUUGUAAACUCCUGUCAUUUGAGAACAAGUGCCAACAAGUAACUACUGUUGGCUUGAUAGUAUCAGAAGAGGAAGGGACGGAUAACUCUGUAGCCAGCAGCCGCGGUAAUACAAGAGGUCCCAAGCGUAGUAUACGGAUUCAUUGGGCGUAAAGGGUGCGUAGGUGGCAGCCGUAAGUCGGGUGUG